CCUACGGGUGGCAGCAGUGGGGGAUAUUGCACAAUGGGGGGAACCCUGAUGCAGCGACGCCGCGUGUGUGAAGGAGUGCUUCGGCAUGUAAAGCACUAUCGGCAGGGAAGAAGCAAGACGGUACCUGACUAAGAAGCCCCGGCUAACUACGUGCAAGCAGCCGCGGUAAUACGUAGGGGGCGAGCGUUAUCCGGAUGCACUGUGGGUAAAGGGAGCGUAGACGGCCAAGCAAGCCAGGGGUGAAAGCCCGGGGCCCAACCCCGGGACUGCCCUUGGAACUGAAUGGCGGGAGUGCGGGAGGGGCAGGCGGAAUGCCUGGUGUAGCGGUGAAAUGCGUAGAUAUCAGGAGGAACACCGGCGGCGAAGGCGGCCUGCUGGACCGCGACUGACGUUGAGGCGCGAAAGCGUGGGGAGCGAACAGGAUUAGAUACCCGUGUAGUC
rnacentral:rRNA from 1 species